GACAUAAUAGGCUAGGUCAUCCUUUUCACACCUGUUUUCUCCUUUAGAUUCUGGCAGUGUGCUUUAGAUCGUUACCAUGCUGGAAUAUUCCUCUUCUGCCAAGCUUCUGGAGACUGGGAGUCAUCUUGUCAGCCAGUAUUUUGGUAUAUCCACAGGCAUUCAUGGUGCCAUCUAUAAAUGUCAUCUCCCCACAUUUAGCACUCAUGCAGCCCCCAUAUCAUCACACUCCCACCUCUGAGCUUCGCUGUCGGAACUAUGCAUUCACUGUGGUAGUCCUGGCCAGGUUCACGCCAAACAUGCUGAACCCCAUCUGAGCCAAAUAAAUUGAUCGUGGUCUCAUCUGACCAAAGAAUGUUCUCCCAAUUUUCAGUAAGCUUCUUUUCGUGUUCCUUAGCUAAGUUUAUUCUUGGAGUUUAUUCAGUUUUGAGCCAAAGAGCAAGCAAGGUUUUUUUUUCUCUUUGGCAGACGUCCUCAGGGGUUGAUAUUGUGCCAUGUCCUUUGCACUGUCUGGGCUGUCAGAAACUGUACUAGUAUAUCUCUACUGAUAUAACUCUACUUGUAUAACUCUACUGGUCUAACUCUACUGGUAUACAGUAACUCUACUAGUAUAACUCUACUAGUAUAACUCUACUGGUCUAACUCUACUGGUAUAACUCUACUGGUAUAACUCUACUGGUAUAACUCUACUGGUAUAACUCUACUCUACUGGUAUAACUCUACUGGUAUAACUCUACUAGUAUAGCUCUACUGGUAUAACUCUACUGGUAUAACUCUAGUCUACUGGUAUAACUCUACUGGUAUAACUCUAGUCUACUGGUAUAACUCUACUGGUAUAACUCUACUGGUAUAACUCUAGUCUACUGGUAUAACUCUACUGGUAUAACUCUAGUCUACUGGUAUAUCUCUACUUGUAUAACUCUACUAGUAUAACUCUACUGGUAUAACUCUACUAGUAUAACUCUACUGAUAUAACUCUACUAGUAUAACUCUACUGGUCUAACUCUACUGGUAUAACUCUACUGGUAUAACUCUACUGGUAUAACUCUACUGGUAUAACUCUACUAGUAUAACUCUACUGGUCUAACUCUACUGGUAUAACUCUACUGGUAUAACUCUACUGGUAUAACUCUACUGGUAUAACUCUACUGGUCUAACUCUACUGGUAUAACUCUACUGGUAUAACUCUACUGGUCUAACUCUACUAGUAUAGCUCUACUGGUAUAACUCUACUGGUAUAACUCUACAUGUAUGACUCAUUGAUAACCCUUGUGUCAAGUCUGAAGCACUUGCUCCUCUGUUUUUCAGAGCUAGCUUGUUCAAGCAGUGCACUGUCUGUGGCGCCAUUUUAGGAGGAUGGCCGCUGCAACUCUGCAACAGGUGUAUUCACUUUUUAUGCAUUGAGCUUCUUCUUUAAAGCCUGUAUUUUUAAUAUAGUCUCUCUAAAGUAUUUGUUUAUUUGUUUAUUAUUGGUUUAUUUGUUUUAGAUACAAAUCGGAAAUACUUUACUUGACAUUUCAGUGAUUUUGCACUUAAUGUAAUAAACUUAGAUAGAGAGAUAGAUAGAUAGAGACAUAGAUAGAUAGAUAGAUAGAUAGAUGGAUACUUUAAUCCCGAGGGAAAUUUAGGAAAGAUAAAGAGAGAGAGAGAGAUUCUUUGCAAGCCGGCCAGUGAAUGUGAUUGAAAUUGGUUCAGUGUCAGAUAAAUAAAUAGAUAACAGCAGCUCCACUCUGAUGGAGACCCACUGUCUAAUGAGAACGCCCAC
ensembl:lncRNA